UACAGAGGGUGCAAGCGUUGUUCGGAAUUACUGGGCGUAAAGCGCGUGUAGGCGGUCUGGUAAGUCGGUCGUGAAAGCCCUUGGCUUAACCAAGGAACUGCGAUCGAAACUACUAGACUAGAGUAUCGGAGGGGGUGGCGGAAUUCCCGGUGUAGAGGUGAAAUUCGUAGAUAUCGGGAGGAACACCUGUGGCGAAGGCGGCCACCUGGAAGAUUACUGACGCUGAGACGCGAAAGCGUGGGGAGCAAACAGG
rnacentral:rRNA from 1 species